GCGUCGGUAGUGCAAUGGUUAGCAUACGCUCCCGGAAAGAGUGAGAUCUGGGUUUAUAUCCCGCCUGAAGCA